UGAGCAACCUGCCCUUGGCUUUGGGAUAACCCUCGGAAACGGGGGCUAAUACCGAAUGUUCACUGCUGGACGCAUGUUUGGUGGUGGAAAGUUUUUCGGCUGGGGAUGGGCUCGCGGCCUAUCAGUUUGUUGGUGGGGUGAUGGCCUACCAAGGCGACGACGGGUAGCUGGU
rnacentral:rRNA from 1 species